rnacentral:rRNA from 1 species
GAUGAACGCUGGCGGCGUGCCUAAUACAUGCAAGUCGAGCGAACGGACGAGAAGCUUGCUUCUCUGAUGUUAGCGGCGGACGGGUGAGUAACACGUGGAUAACCUACCUAUAAGACUGGGAUCACUUCGGGAAACCGGAGCUAAUACCGGAUGAUAUUUUGAACCGCAUGGUUCAAAAGUGAAAGACGGUCUUGCUGUCACUUAUAGAUGGAUCCGCGCUGCAUUAGCUAGUUGGUAAGGUAACGGCUUACCAAGGCAACGAUGCAUAGCCGACCUGAGAGGGUGAUCGGCCACACUGGAACCGAGACACGGUCCAGACGCCUACGGGAGGCAGCAGUAGGGAAUCUUCCGCAAUGGGCGAAAGCCUGACGGAGCAACGCCGCGUGAGUGAUGAAGGUCUUCGGAUCGUAAAACUCUGUUAUUAGGGAAGAACAGAUGUGUAAGUAACUGUGCACAUCUUGACGGUACCUAAUCAGAAAGCCACGGCUAACUACGUG